UGUAGAAAUACUUGCUAGGUUAGGAGAUUUCAAUUGUGUUAAUUGCAGUGGUCCUGCAAUACAUCAACAUCAUUAUUGCUCUGAAAAUUAUCCCCUGGCACAAUGAGGGUCAAUGUUUGGUAUUGAUAUAUUCCAUUUUUACUUUCUUAGGUCACUUUUAUUUCAGUCUGGAAGUACAGUCAAAACUUAGCCAAGGAUUGUUAUAUACCACAGAAGAAGUGUGAUACAGAGUGGAAAAGGCAGUAAAAUGGAAACUGAGACAUUGAGUUAGCAGGAAGGCUACUGGAAGGAACACCCUGCAUGACUGAAUCCAGUUUCCUGCUAGCGCAGUCAGACAUAGUGCUAAAUUCCUCACUGCCUAAAAGACUGCACCCUUCAUCUUUUGGGAAUAAUCUCUGGGCCCUAAUUCUGUCAGCAAUCGCACAAGGCGUUAACCUGAACCUGAUAAUGAUCAUGGACAUGCAAGCAAAGUCUCCUGUGCAAAAGUGCCUUGCAGUAGGACAUGUCUGUAGAUUGUGCCUCAUUUCUGCUAUCACACGGCCUAGUGUACUGCUGUAACAUUAGAAAUGAGCUCAAACAUAUAUUGUGCAACUUAUUAUGCCAGAGGCACAUUUUAUCUGCUAUGCAUUAUGCUUAUGCAUUAUGAUUAAUGUAUGUGAUUGACAUGUCUAUGCAUUUCUGUAAAUUCAAAUUCCAAAUACAGCCUUGGCUUCAAUUCUUCAGGAACAAAACCAAAUAAACAGCAUUCAUACAUUGUGAAGGACUUCCA
rnacentral:lncRNA from 1 species